AGUGAACGCUGGCGGUAGGCCUAACACAUGCAAGUCGAACGGCAGCACAGUAAGAGCUUGCUCUUACGGGUGGCGAGUGGCGGACGGGUGAGGAAUACAUCGGCAUCUACUUUUUCGUGGGGGAUAACGUAGGGAAACUUACGCUAAUACCGCAUACGACCUACGGGUGAAAGCAGGAGAUCUUCGGACCUUGCGCGAUUCAAUGAGCCGAUGUCGGAUUAGCUAGUUGGCGGGGUAAAGGCCCACCAAGGCGACGAUCCGUAGCUGGUCUGAGAGGAUGAUCAGCCACACUGGAACUGAGACACGGUCCAGACUCCUACGGGAGGCAGCAGUGGGGAAUAUUGGACAAUGGGCGCAAGCCUGAUCCAGCCAUACCGCGUGGGUGAAGAAGGCCUUCGGGUUGUAAAGCCCUUUUGUUGGGAAAGAAAAGCAGCAGGUUAAUACCCCGCUGUUCUGACGGUACCCAAAGAAUAAGCACCGGCUAACUUCGUG
rnacentral:rRNA from 1 species